rnacentral:rRNA from 1 species
UACGUAGGGUCCGAGCGUUGUCCGGAAUUAUUGGGCGUAAAGCGCUCGCAGGUGGUUCGUUGCGUCGUGCGUGAAAGACCCUGGCUCAACUGGGGGAUGUCGUGCGAUACGGGCGAACUGGAGGCCAGUAGGGGGAUGCGGAAUUCCGGGUGUAGUGGUGGAAUGCGUAGAGAUCCGGAGGAACACCAGCGGCGAAGGCGGCAUCCUGGACUGGUCCUGACACUCAGGAGCGAAAGCGUGGGGAGCGAUCCGG